GAGAGUGGACAACAGAAUAUUUUGACCUGCAGCAUCCAUUGUAUUAAGUUAAUGAGACGGGAUCACUGCAGGGACAUGUAUGACCAGGAGAGAAAUAUGGAUUCUUUCCUGCUCACUGAGAAGUAAACAGAAUGAAGUUAAUUUGCACAGCAGCCAACAAUAACAUAGAAAAUAUGAAAAAGUCUGCAUAACGCACGUACACAGCAGAUUCAGAGAAUCAGAUGCAUUACUGGCUGCCAAUCUGAGAUCAGUUCAACCAACAUCAGCGCUAAGGAUCUGUUUCAGCCAUGGAUCUGCUUCAUGGGAGAUGCAGAAAUGUAGCCACUCACUUAUCUAUUCAAAUGAAA